rnacentral:rRNA from 1 species
UUUAAUGAGAGUUUGAUCCUAGCUCAGGAUGAACGCUGGCGGCGUGGAUAAGGCAUGCAAGUCGAACGGUACAGGGUAGCAAUACUUUGUACAGUGGCGAACGAGUUAGUAACACCUUGGUACGUACUCCGAAGUCGGGCACAACCAGUCGAAAGAUUGGCUAAUUCCCGAUGGCCCCGCAAGGGUAAAGUCGCAAGACGCUUCGGAAGCGGCCUAGGUCCUAUCAGCUUGUUGGUGAGGUAAUGGCUCACCAAGGCGAUGACGGGUAGGGGGUGUGAGAGCACGUCCCCCAACGACGGAACUGAGAACGGUCCGUACUCCUACGGGAGGCAGCAGUCGAGAAUAUUCGACAAUGGGCGAAAGCCUGAUCGAGCGACACCGCGUGCAGGAAGAAGGCCUU